CCCUUAGAUGUUCUGGGCUGCACGCGCGCUACACUGAUGCACUCAACGAGUUUACGACCUUGCCCGAUAGGGUUGGGUAAUCUUUUUAAAAUGCAUCGUGAUGGGGAUAGAUUAUUGCAAUUAUUAAUCUUCAACGAGGAAUUCCUAGUAAGCGCGAGUCAUCAGCUCGUGCUGAUUACGUCCCUGCCCUUUGUACACACCGCCCGUCGCUCCUACCGAUUGAGUGCUCAGGUGAAUAAUUCGGACUGCAGCAAUGUUUGGAUCCCGAACGUUGCAGCGGAAAGUUUAGUGAACCUUAUCACUGAGAGGGAGGAGAAGGCGUAACA
rnacentral:rRNA from 1 species